AGAGUUUGAUCCUGGCUCAGGAUGAACGCUGGCGGCGUGCUUAACACAUGCAAGUCGAACGAAGCACUUAUCUUUGAUUCUUCGGAUGAAGAGGUUUGUGACUGAGUGGCGGACGGGUGAGUAACGCGUGGGUAACCUGCCUCAUACAGGGGGAUAACAGUUAGAAAUGACUGCUAAUACCGCAUAAGACCACGGAGCCGCAUGGCUCUGUGGGAAAAACUCCGGUGGUAUGAGAUGGACCCGCGUCUGAUUAGGUAGUUGGUGGGGUAACGGCCUGCCAAGCCAACGAUCAGUAGCCGACCUGAGAGGGUGACCGGCCACAUUGGGACUGAGACACGGCCCAAACUCCUACGGGAGGCAGCAGUGGGGAAUAUUGCACAAUGGGGGAAACCCUGAUGCAGCGACGCCGCGUGAGCGAAGAAGUAUUUCGGUAUGUAAAGCUCUAUCAGCAGGGAAGAAAAUGACGGUACCUGACUAAGAAGCACCGGCUAAAUACGUGCCAGCAGCCGCGGUAAUACGUAUGGUGCAAGCGUUAUCCGGAUUUACUGGGUGUAAAGGGAGCGUAGACGGCUGUGUAAGUCUGAAGUGAAAGCCCGGGGCUCAACCCCGGGACUGCUUUGGAAACUAUGCAGCUAGAGUGUCGGAGAGGUAAGUGGAAUUCCCAGUGUAGCGGUGAAAUGCGUAGAUAUUGGGAGGAACACCAGUGGCGAAGGCGGCUUACUGGACGAUGACUGACGUUGAGACUCGAAAGCGUGGGGAGCAAACAGGAUUAGAUACCCUGGUAGUCCACACCGUAAACGAUGAAUGCUAGGUGUAGGAGGUAUCGACCCCUUCUGUGCCGGAGUUAACGCAAUAGCAUUCCGCCUGGGGAGUACGGCCGCAAGGCUGAAACUCAAAGGAAUUGACGGGGGCCCGCACAAGCGGUGGAGUAUGUGGUUUAAUUCGACGCAACGCGAAGAACCUUACCAGGGCUUGACAUUGAGUGAAAGGACAAGAGAUUGUCCCCUCUCUUCGGAGACACGAAAACAGGUGGUGCAUGGCUGUCGUCAGCUCGUGUCGUGAGAUGUUGGGUUAAGUCCCGCAACGAGCGCAACCCCUAUCCUUUGUUGCCAGCACGUUAUGGUGGGAGCUCAAAGGAGACUGCCGCGGACAACGCGGAGGAAGGCGGGGAUGACGUCAAGUCAUCAUGCCCCUUAUGUCCUGGGCUACACACGUACUACAAUGGGAUGGACAGAGAGCAGCGAAGCCGCGAGGCCAAGCGAACCCCAUAAACCAUCUCCCAGUUCGGAUUGCAGGCUGCAACCCGCCUGCAUGAAGUUGGAAUCGCUAGUAAUCGCAGGUCAGCAUACUGCGGUGAAUACGUUCCCGGGCCUUGUACACACCGCCCGUCACACCACGGAAGUCAUUCACACCCGAAGCCGGCAGGCUAACCUUUUGGAGGCAGCCGUCUAAGGUGGGGGCGAUGACUGGGGUGAAGUCGUAACAAGGUA
rnacentral:rRNA from 1 species